rnacentral:lncRNA from 1 species
CUUUCAUUCAGCUUUUGAGCCAUUCCGUGAUCUCUUCCCCCCACAUUUUUCUCUUUUCAUGUCUCAGUCUUUCUUUUUAAAGUUUAUUUAUUUUGAGAGAGAGAAAGAGAAAGAGAGAGAGAGAGAACACACAAGCACAGGGGAGAGGCAGAGAGACAAAAUCUCAAUGAGGCUUCACACUGUCAGCACAGAGCCCAUCUUGGGGCUUGAUCUCAAGAAUCGUGAGAUCCUGACCUGAGACAAAUCAAGAGUGAGAUGCUCAACCGACUGAGCUACCCAGGUGCCACAAUCUCUCAGUCUUAACAGAACUCUCUGUAUUGAGGUUAGUUUGCCCACUAUAAAUAAUUUCUACUAAUUAUUAUCUUACCACUUCUGACAUGUGGUGCACAUCUUUUGGGCAGCAUUACCAGCCUGCACUCUUCCUCGUUGCUCCCAUUAACAUCCUGCUCACAUCUUCUCUGAAUUUCCAUUAACCAUCUUCACCCACAAGGAAAAUUCCUAGAAUUUCCUGCCUAUUCCUUUAUUUUGGUACACUUAGUUCCACUUCUCUAGUUAACUUUCCAUGUUUCUCAUACUACAUCCUGGUAGCUAAGUAUCAUUGGAAAUCCUACCUUGUGAUCAUCAAUUUCUACCAGAGCACCUACAUCCAGAGAAGAGAUCGAGCCCCUCUUAAGUGCCAACCGUUGUUCACUAGAAAACUCUUGAAAAAUGAGGGCAAUUCCCAGCCGAGCAUCAUUAAAGAAUUUCCCCAAAUUGGGGGCUCCUCGGUGGCUCAGUCGGUUGGGCAUCUGACUUCAGCUCAGGUCAUGAUCUCAUGGAUGGUGAGUUUGAGCCCCAUGUCGGGCUCUGUGCUGACAGCUCAGAGCCUGGAGCCUACUUCGGAUUCUGUUUCUCCCUCUCUCUGUGCCCCUCCCCCACUCACACUCUGUGUCUCUCUCUCUCUUUCAAAAAUAAAGAUUAAAAAAGUAAUAAAAAAAAAGAAUUUCCUCAAAGUCACAGAGCUGAUACAUGUUAAAGGAAGGAUUUAAGUUAAUGUCUUACUGAUUCCAAACCUG